UAUCUAAUACUGAAGCCAUCACCCAGAAAGAAAUGAACACUCAGACAUCUCCUUGUCUUUAUGUUGCCUCUGGCAGAAACGUGAGAAUUCGUGACGGAAAGGCACCUACAACCACCCAGGAUUUGGGAAAGAAGCCUCGAUGUUAUUUUGAGGAAGAGGAUGGGAGUCCCCCUGGAGACCUGGCCAAUAUUUGUUCCUCAUUCAGCGUAAAAAAAACAAAGGAUCUGAUCAUCAUCACAUUGGUGUUCUUGGGAUCUUGCUGUGCACAAAUCGAAUGCUGCAUUUCCGACAGGAGAACAGUGACUAAAAGUACUUAAUUGGCUGUAAGACACUUUGGGAUGUGAAAAGCACUAUAUAAAUGAAAUUCUUUUUCUAGCUUA